rnacentral:rRNA from 1 species
CCUACGGGAGGCAGCAGUGGGGAAUAUUGGACAAUGGGGGCAACCCUGAUCCAGCCAUGCCGCGUGUGUGAAUAAGGCCCUCGGGUUGUAAAGCACUUUCAGUGAGGAAGAACGCCUGGUGGUUAAUACCCAUCAGGAAAGACAUCACUCACAGAAGAAGCACCGGCUAACUCCGUGCCAGCAGCCGCGGUAAUACGGAGGGUGCGAGCGUUAAUCGGAAUUACUGGGCGUAAAGCGCGCGUAGGUGGCUUGAUAAGCCGGUUGUGAAAGCCCCGGGCUCAACCUGGGAACGGCAUCCGGAACUGUCAAGCUAGAGUGCAGGAGAGGAAGGUAGAAUUCCCGGUGUAGCGGUGAAAUGCGUAGAGAUCGGGAGGAAUACCAGUGGCGAAGGCGGCCUUCUGGACUGACACUGACACUGAGGUGCGAAAGCGUGGGUAGCAAACAGGAUUAGAUACCCGUGUAGUC